rnacentral:rRNA from 1 species
AUGGCUCAGUGAGGCCUUCGGACUGGCUCGAGGAGGUUGGCAACGACCACCUCAAGCCGGAAAGUUGGUCAAACUCGGUCAUUUAGAGGAAGUAAAAGUCGUAACAAGGUCUCCGUAGGUGAACCUGCGGAGGGAUCAUUACACAAAUAUGAAGGCGGGCUGGCACCUCCCGGGGUGGCCAGCCUUGCUGAAUUAUUCCACCCGUGUCUUUUGCGUACUUCUUGUUUCCUUGGUGGGCUCGCCCACCACAAGGACCAACCCAUAAACCUUUUUGCAAUGGCAAUCAGCGUCAGUAACAAUGUAAUAAUUUACAACUUUCAACAACGGAUCUCUUGGUUCUGGCAUCGAUGAAGAACGCAGCGAAAUGCGAUAAGUAGUGUGAAUUGCAGAAUUCAGUGAAUCAUCGAAUCUUUGAACGCACAUUGCGCCCUUUGGUAUUCCAAAGGGCAUGCCUGUUCGAGCGUCAUUUGUACCCUCAAGCUUUGCUUGGUGUUGGGCGUCUUUUUGUCUCUCCUUGCGGGAGACUCGCCUUAAAGUCAUUGGCAGCCGGCCUACUGGUUUCGGAGCGCAGCACAAGUCGCGCUCUCUUCCAGCCCCAAGGUCUAGCAUCCACCAAGCCUUUUUUUUCAACUUUUGACCUCGGA